UUGGGAAUGAAGUUCUCCCCAAGAGAUUAAACUCUUAAACCGCUUUCAAAAGCUGAUGACUUCUGCGAU
rnacentral:ncRNA from 1 species